GACGAACCGUGCGAACGUUGUUCGGAUUCACUGGGCUUAAAGGGCGCGUAGGCGGGUUGUCAAGUCAGGGGUGAAAUCUUUCGGCUCAACCGGAAAAGUGCUUCUGAUACUGGCAGCCUGGAGGGAGGUAGGGGCAGAUGGAACUUCCGGUGGAGCGGUGAAAUGCGUAGAUAUCGGAAGGAACGCCGGUGGCGAAAGCGAUCUGCUGGACCUCUUCUGACGCUGAUGCGCGAAAGCCAGGGGAGCAAACGGG
rnacentral:rRNA from 1 species